GAUGAACGCUGGCGGCGUGCCUAAUACAUGCAAGUCGAGCGAACAGACGAGGAGCUUGCUCCUCUGACGUUAGCGGCGGACGGGUGAGUAACACGUGGAUAACCUACCUACAAGACUGGGAUAACUUCGGGAAACCGGAGCUAAUACCGGAUAAUAUAUUGAACCGCAUGGUUCAAUAGUGAAAGACGGUUUUGCUGUCACUUAUAGAUGGAUCCGCGCCGCAUUAGCUAGUUGGUAAGGUAACGGCUUACCAAGGCAACGAUGCGUAGCCGACCUGAGAGGGUGAUCGGCCACACUGGAACUGAGACACGGUCCAGACUCCUACGGGAGGCAGCAGUAGGGAAUCUUCCGCAAUGGGCGAAAGCUUGACGGAGCAACGCCGCGUGAGUGAUGAGGGUCUUCGGAUCGUAAAACUCUGUUAUUAGGGAAGAACAAAUGUGUAAGUAACUAUGCACGUCUUGACGGUACCUAAUCAGAAAGCCACGGCUAACUACGUG
rnacentral:rRNA from 1 species